CCUACGGGAGGCAGCAGUGGGGAAUCUUGCGCAAUGGGCGAAAGCCUGACGCAGCCAUGCCGCGUGAAUGAUGAAGGUCUUAGGAUUGUAAAAUUCUUUCACCGGGGACGAUAAUGACGGUACCCGGAGAAGAAGCCCCGGCUAACCUCGUGCCAGCAGCCGCGGUAAUACGAAGGGGGCUAGCGUUGCUCGGAAUUACUGGGCGUAAAGGGAGCGUAGGCGGAUAGUUUAGUCAGAGGUGAAAGCCCAGGGCUCAACCUUGGAAUUGCCUUUGAUACUGGCUAUCUUGAGUACGGAAGAGGUAUGUGGAACUCCGAGUGUAGAGGUGAAAUUCGUAGAUAUUCGGAAGAACACCAGUGGCGAAGGCGACAUACUGGUCCGUUACUGACGCUGAGGCUCGAAAGCGUGGGGAGCAAACAGGAUUAGAUACCCUGGUAGUCCACGCUGUAAACGAUGAGUGCUAGUUGUCGGCAUGCAUGCAUGUCGGUGGACGCAGCUAACGCAUUAAGUACACCUCCGCCGUCGGGGAGGUACGGUCGGCGAAGAAGUUAAAACGUUAAAGUAAGUUAGUUAGUACGUUGUUGAGNGCGACGACGACGACGACGGAGGAGGAGG
rnacentral:rRNA from 1 species